ensembl:lncRNA
AGUGGACUUUCUGGCAUGAUAGAAGCAGUCUGUAGAGCUGUUUGGGUCUAACUUAGGCAUGACAUGCAGGAGUGGAGCCUGCCAAGGCUUCAAUACUCUGUUUUCUCGGAGUAAAGAUUUUGAUUUUCGGACUCAAGAUUGUGGCUUGCCUGAAUGGAUUCUGCAGUUAAGUCCUAGCUUUUGUUUAUUCUGUCAUUAACUCUUCAUUUGAUUUUCUCAUGCUUCUGGAGGGCAGAUGCAGCUUUGAAAGAGAGAAAUGCUUCAGGAUAGACCCGUUGUCAUUGGAGGUAGAGAUAUACUAAAGAAGUUGCAAGAACAAAUUACACCUGUAGCCAGAAAAAUUCAAGUACAUAUCCCUGAGGAUGAAGCCAUAGAGGCCCAGGUCUUCGUGUUACAGGAAUCACCUCCUGAAUCUGAAAUACCCGAGGAAGUAGACAACAUGGUAAAGCUAUUGUUAUGAGCUGGAGGAACCUCAGGAUGAUCACGGUGGACCAAAUGUGUGAUUGUACAAUUGUAGCUGAACUCCAGACUGGUCAGAAAAAAAAAAAAACAUUUGAACUGUUCGUGCAUGAAAGGCUGCAUAAUGCCCUGGGAGUCCUGGCACAGAGACUGAGAUUAUUGAGAGCAUUGGAACUAUUAAAAGAAAUUUUUUAAAAAAGAGUCAAUAUAUGGAAUGAUUCAAAAUUUGCAUUUGGAGUUGUACAUUGCCAUGGAGUAAUAUGGAAGAGAAGAGGACUGCUAUCCUACCAGGGAUCACAAAUAAAAUAUGGACCCAUUAUUAUAGAGCUACUAGAAAGUGUACAGCCUCCUCAGAAAGUAGCCAUAAUGCAUCGCAAAGCACAUCAGUUCAGUAACACUCCAGUGAAUUACAGCAGCUGACUUGCCAAUAGAGCUGCUGAAGCAGCCACAGAAGGAACUCUUUUAUUAGUAAUCCUGGACAAAUAUAAAUAACUAGGGAAAGAAGUCCCACGUUAUCAAGCUAAAGAUGAGAGACUGGCAACAUUACGGACAGUGGUUAAAGAUGACAAAGGAUAGUAGAUAACUCCAGAUAAACAGACAAUUAUCCCUCAAUCUCUUAUGAAUAAAUGGCCAGAAGAUUAUCAUUGAUUGACACAAUGGGGAAUAGAGACAAUGAUAGAAAGCAUGAGACACCAAGUUUUAAGUGUGCGAAUGGCAGGAAUCAUAAAGAAUAUUGUGAAAAGAUAUGAACUCUGUUUGAAAAACAAUCUCCAUCAACCUAAAUGACCUCCACUCAAAACAGCUAAGAAAGGAAACCAUCCAGGAGUUUAUUGGCAGAUGGAUUUUUGUGAAUCACUGCGGUGAUGUGAGCACAGGUAUGUCGUUGUAUGUGCACCUUUACUCCUGGAUGGACUUGUACACCGGUACCAACCUGCAGAUUGAGUGUACCUGAAGACAGGGUCAGAUAAGGAGAAGUGGAGAGGACCCUUCCAGACUUUACUCACCACCCAUGCAGCAGUCAGACUCAAGGGAAUCAGCCUAUGGAUUCACUGCAGUAGAGUCAAGCAGGUUUCUCAUAACAAUAAGUAAUGCAUUUAUUAACGGUGAGGGAAUGAAUGUGAAAGUGAAAAUUUGGUUUUAACAUUAAUACAAGGGUUUGGUAGGAUGUGCAAUGUCACUAGCAUCUGCGUAAUCAUAAUUAUAAGAGGUAUAGGACUGUAUAAGAUGUAUUAAAAGAUAUUUUGAAAGAAAUAUGUGGAAGUAAUUAGAAGAACUAACUAUUUACUUCCCAAGGAGGAAAUUGAUACCUGGCAAUUAAUUAACCACAGGCCCCUUGCAAGGACCCCAUACUAACACAGAGCGUGUGCAGUAUUAGAUUUUAACAUAUAUAGUAAUUCUUGUAAUAGGCAGGCACUCUGUGGAAAAUGUAUGAAUAUUCACACAUGUUCAGUGUAUCUGUGUAUAUCUAUCAAUGUAUCUAUUCAAUCAAUCUGUGUGCUUUUAGCUCCUGGCUUUGCACGUUAGGCGGAGCAAUCCCCUGUGCAUCCAGUAACACAAUAACAAUAUUGUCACAAUAACAAAUGCCUGCUUCUUAAUGCUACAUUAGCAUUAAUGAGUUUUGUUCCUGAUUUCAGUGGCAGAAUUGGUGUUAUUUCUUUUUUUUUUCUUUUUUUUUUUUUCCCCCACCAAGUAUGAGGGCAAGACAUUAUGUGGGUGUAUGAGGUAUCUUUAGAUAUGCAGUGAGACAACUCAGGCACUGGGGAAAACUCAUCUCUGGAUACUGUCUCUGUCUCCCAUUUUAUUUAAGUUUCUUUCAGCUGCUGCCAUGAGCCCAGGAUAUCUCUUUUCAGCUGGCAGGAGCUGACAUAGCAGAAAUAGCUAUCAAAUAUGAUAUAGGUUCUCCCUUUGAAUGCUCCUUCUUGCACCAUUCUUGGUACAGUUUAGGGUACCAGUAGAAGAAAUGAAGAAAGCAGACAUCAAAGAUACUGCACAAGGUCAGUCAGCACCGAGAAGAGCCAACCGUCCUUCUAUAUCUGAUGCAAAGUGCCACAUCUUAGCUUUGUUUUCUUUUUCAAAAACUCUACUGGAAUUUGAAGAGGUUUUAAAACACCAGUACAUGAUUUGAAUAAUUGUAUGCUCCAAGGAAUGUAUGCCACCCAGAACAACUGGUCUGUCCCAGAGAAAUAGUACAACACUUCCGAAACGGAAGAAAAGCCUGACUUCUACUGACUUCAGUCUUCUUUUGCAAGUGGGACUUCCCACUGAGAAUCUAAAUAUGCAUCAGAUGUCUAAAAACAGUAAAUCAUUUAAGGGUUUUAACUGGGAAAAUAGUUCAGCAGCCCUUAUGAAUUAUUACUUUUUCACAUUAUUGCAAUUAAAAAUCCUCAUUUUCUCAGUGUUUGCAUAAGCAAAGUGGUUUGCCUACGGUGAAUGCAGCUCCACUGAAGGAUGUGAUACCUACUCUGCAUUGGUGCUCUCUGUUCCAAUGGGUGCAACUCUGCCAAUACUGCAGAAAUUUGAGGAUGCUUUUCUCUGAAGCAGUAGUGUUUAAAAUUUCAUCCUGUCCAUUAGAUUGCUCCAGAAUUAGCCUUGUAAGUACAUCUGAGUUCUGUGGCAUCAUGUUGCACUAAAAGCCAGUCUCUGAGAUGAGGGACUCAGGCAGUUUAUUUAUAGUUCAGAAGGUCAAAUAGUUGCCUUAAUUGGAAAACACCACUCACCAGUCUCUGAGCGUAUUGAUGUACUUUGCAUUCGAUGCCAUUAGUUACUUGUGUGAGUUUCUAAUAUCACCUUUGUUAAUAAGAUACAUUCUCCAUAAUGGGCUGCUUGCAGGUUCCAAGAGCCAUUUAUAUGCUAAGUUUGACAAGUUAGAUGAUGCUAAACCCAUACUGAAAGCAAUAGCUGUCAGAACUGUACCUGGGUGCCAGGCAGAUGUCUGUGACCUUCAAACUGUUUUGGGAUGGGAUGUGCUAAAUCCCGUCUGUAUGGUAUGUGACCAGGCAGCAAAGGUAUUUCUUCAAAUAUAUCUUGAAUUCCUGCCAGAAAAGUUGUAUAUAAACCUCACAGCAAAAGUUUGAUGGACUUGGCUUGUAGUAGAAGGAAGGUGAAAUAAAGUCACAGAAUCACAGAAGUUGGAAGGGACCUCAAGAGAUCAUUGAGUCCAACCCGCUGCCAAAGCAGGUGCCCUACAACAGGUCACACAGGUUGGUGUCCAGACAGGACUUGAAUAUCUCCAGAGAAGGAGAAGGCAAGGUGCUCCCAACAUGUCUGAAUUAAAGCAUACGAUAGCAAACACACUGAGUGAUUUGAGAGACCUGAAGAUCUCUCAUCCAUAGAGAUGCAGAUUAGGGAAAAAAAAACCACAAAAACAAACCUCUUCUCAACGCAAAGGAAACUAUCUUAAAGAAGUCUAAAAAAUUCCUCUUGAUUUCACUUCUGCUGUUCCCACACUUUCCCUUGCCUACUAUUGUUGCUGAAGGUCAUGUCAAGUUUUACAUGUAGUAUGGCCCAGUAGACACAUGAUCUUAACCAUAGGAGGAAGGCAAAAUGUUAAUGUUCAUUGUGUGGAUUUAUGUAGGAAGGGAGCAAGGAAGAGGAUUAAUAUGGAGGUGGCUAAUGCUGGGACUACUCCAAGUUUCUCUGGAAUCGAGCUCAGGAUGGCAUAUACAAAUAGGAAUCACACCUCUGGUUUGAUGUGAGGGGGUGUGACUAGUGAAGUUGCUGAUGUGAAGUUUUCUGGGUCCCUUAAGAGGUUAGGGGAGAAUAAGGCUAAUAUUAGGAAGGGGAUAAAGGCAUGGGCUGAGAUGUGAAGGAAAGCUAGUUGUGAGAGAUCAAGUCCAGUGGUGACUAUUAUUAAGCUUAGCUGGCUGGAGGUGAACCUGAGGAUGUCUUUUAAUGAGAAGUAGUGAUAGAAGGGAUGGGUUGGGAGGUGAAUUAGGGAAUUGCUGACUAUUUUUAGUAGGGGAUGGGAUUUUCAGAUGUUGAGGGCCAUUAUUUUAUUAUCUAUGGGCUGAUAGAUUAAUUAUUAACAUUGAUAGAGUGAAGAAUCCUCAGUAGGUUUUGAUUAAGCCUGUGGAAUGUAGUUGUGAUUUUGCUUGCUGUCAGGUGGAGGUUAGCAAAGCCUUUGGGGCCUAUUUUCUUGUGUCAGGAUAUAUCGAUUAGGUGAAAGGCAAUUUUUUGUCCUUUAUUUAGUAGGUCUGUACAGCUGGAUCAGAGCAUUAGGGAGCUUAAAGUAGCCUAAGGAGGAGAAGUUUCUAAGGGUACUUUGUUUUAAGGGGAAGGUAAAGGUGUGGGUUAUAUUUGAAGUUCUAGAACUAGAAUAAUUCUGAGAAUUGUGAGCACAUAUAUAUGUAUUUUUAUAUAUAUAUAUAUAUGUAUAUAUAAACACUAAUAACCCAAUGAAACAUCCUACCAGUCCAAAUCACAUCCAUCCAAAACUCUAUCAUUUAUCAUAAACUUCAUAAUCCCCCUAACCUUAAAAAUAGACCCAUGCUCAAUACUAUUUUUCCAAUUGCAUAAUUUGUAACUUGAUCAAUCCUGGAAUUUGUAACAUGAUGCAUAGCCUCAGAACCAUGUAUCAAGAAAUUCUUCACCUAUCUUCUUUACGUCCGAAUUGCCAUACUAACCAUUGCAAACAGCAUAUUCCUUCUUUUGUAGGCUGAGAGGAAUUAUGUCAUUCCUAUUCAUUGGCUGAUGACAAUGUCAAGCCAAAACUAACACAGCAGCAUUAAAAGCUGUAGUCUACCACCAGAUUGAAGAUAUAUAAGGCAAUGUAAUAUAACACAAAAUAGAGAUAAGCAUGUGAGUUUUUAACACUUGAAUUCAGUACUGUGCAGUACAAAGUACAAAGGAUCUAAGUAGAGUAAAUUUAAAUUUAAGAAGGUAAGCAGUUUUAGUUAGUUUAAAAUGGCAGGCUGGAGUAUUUAUUUGAUAAAAAGUCAUUCAAGUAUUUGACAGAAAGUCAUAGAAAUGAAAAAGCUAGACAUAACUGUUUUUAAAACAGCAUAACAACAUAAAAUGGGAAGAAGAGAGACUGAGAUUGUACUAUUAAUGUUUUCAUGAAGAAACAAAACACCAGACUUAAACAAGCAAACUCUAGUGGAGGAAAUAGAAACCCUAUUUUCUGCGGAGUGUGCAGUGAGACAUAAUGGCUGUAUAACUUCUAAAAGUUUAUAGUUUAGUGGUGCAGGCUCAGAAUAAAAGAAUUCAAUAGCAAAAUGAGUCAACACUUAAACCUAAAUUGUAAUUUAUAAGGGACUCUCUUCUCACGCAAAUCAAAUUUGGAAGCAGAAUAAUGUCUUCUGAUAGCGAGGCAGUAUUUGCUGAAUGUUCUGGGUGGCAGUUUGCAAUACACAGACAUUUGAAAUUACAUUUAUAAAAUAAAUGUUCAAUUCAAAACAAUUUUUAGCCUAUUUGCUGACACAUAAUACAAAAUUGUUGCUACACUAUAUAUUUCUUCAUAUAAGGCAUUGCAACACGCAGACAGUAAUGAAAAAUGGAGGCAACAGAGUUCUUGCAAAUGAAAGCAAGAAUGUAACUCUGUUCUUCCUGCUUCCCACCAGGGAAUGGUGGCUUCCAAAACACUGGAAAACAAGGCAGUUGGUGAGAAAGUCUCAGAAUUGACUCCAUGUGUUAAAAAAAGAAGGCCAAACAAAGCCAAGAGUGGUCACUCCCUGGCAUGUGCACCCUGCCUGAUACUUCAGGGAGAACAGAGUCACAUGGGCCUACACAUCACUGUCUCUCUCCUUCACUCUGCAUCUGCCAGGACAGAUGCAAUAAGGAUGCUGGUGCAUAUUGAAGCUCUGCUCUUCCAGUGGAUCUCAGCAGAAUGCACACUGAAAUUUCUCAUAGCUGAUGUACUCUCCUCACAGCUUAGAAGCCCCACUCACAGCAUCACAUAACAGUCCAGACUGAAAGGGACCAUAAAGCCCACUCAGGCCCAACCCACUGCCAUGGCCUGGCUGCCCCCUCCAGCUCAGGCUGCCCAGGGGCCAAUCCAACCUGUCCUUGAGUGCCUCCAGGGAUGGGGCACCACAACUUCUCCGGGCAGCUGUGCCAGGGCCUCACUGCCCUCUGAGUAAGGAAUUUCAUCCUAACAUCUAACCUAAAUCAUGAGUUUUUCGGUUCAAAACUAUCACUCCUUUUCCUAUCACUAUCACUGCAAACUGUCUAAGAGUGCACUCAGCCCCACUGUCCAUGUCAAUGAGAGAUGUUCAGUAGUGCCAGUCCCAACACACACCCCUGAGGAACACCUCUUGUUACUUUUCUCCACCUGGACAUCAAGCCAUUGACCUCAGUUCUUUGAGUGAGACCAUCCGGCUGAUUUGGUCUGCAGCUGCUAGUAUUGUUUGUGUAUCCCCAGUAAGUUCACAAUCCAUACAAAAACAUUCAGACUUUGAUUAAGUCUUGCAAUGCAAAUCUAGGACAACGUUAGAUAAACUGAAUUUGCAUGUGAAAUUAAAUAGCACUAGGGACACUGUUCUGAGUUACGAAUUUUCACUUUUCAUUUAAUUAAGAACUUGUACUUUCAAAGUAACCUGAAUCUAUCACAUAAUCUCCAGUAGUACGCACCACAGUGCUGCAAGAACUGUGAACCUUUUAGCUAAACUUUAGAAUAGCAUGGCAUAAGCAUAGCAUAGUUCAGUUGGAAGAGACCUUCAGACAUCAUCUAGUCCAAGUGUCUGACCUCAUCAGGGCUAAACAAGAGUUAAGUUAAUGAAAGCAUCAUCCAAAUGCCUCUUGAACAUGGGACAUCAACCACCUCUCUAAGUAGCCUGUUCCAGUGUCUGAUUGCACUCACAGCAAAGACAUUUUUCCUGAUGUCCGGUCUAAUCCUCCCAUGGCACAGCUUGUGCUGUUCCCAUCCAGUUCCUAGGAGCAGAGCCAGGUAACUCCCUCUCCAUUCCCCUCCUCAGGGAGCUGCAGAGAGCAGUGAGGUCACCUCUUGGCCUCCCAUUCUCCAGACUAGACAACCCCAGUGUCCUCAGCCUCUGCUCACAGCACAUGCCUUACAACCCUGUUACCAGCUUUGUUGUUCUCUGGAUGCUUUCAAGGACCUCAUCAUCCGUUCCGUAUUGUGGAGCCCAGAACUGCACACAGCACUCCAGGUGAGGCCACACCAUUGCUAGAGAUACAGUGGGAUAAGCAGCUCUUUUGACCAGCUGGUCAUGCUGUGUUUAUUGCACCUCCAAGGGCAGUUUGCCCAUUUGACUGCCAGGGCACACUGCUGGCUCAUGCUGAGCCUGCUGUCACCAGCACCCCAAGGAACCUUCAUGCUGAGCUGCUCUCCAGCCACUCCUUUCCCAUCUGUGCUUGGGUCUGGCAUUGCUCUGUCCCAGGAGUAAAACUCAGCCAUUUCCUUCAUUGAACUUGAUGCCAUUGAUAAAUGCCCAGUGCUCCAAUCAACCCAGAUCCCUCUGCAAGACCUCUUGCCCCUUGAGGAAUUCAACAGCACCUUCCGGUUUAGUGUCAUCAGUAAACUUGUUAAGGAUGCACUCAACCCCUGCACCCAGAUCACUGACAAAAACAUGGAGCAUAACUGGCCCUAGACUUGCACCCUGGGAAAUAUCACUAGUGAUCAUCUGUCAGAUACAUGUAGACCCAUUCACUGUAAAUCUCUGAACUCCACUGUUGAUCCAGUUUACUCUGUAGCACAGCAUAAAUCUGUUAGUCUCACCAUUGGACAGUGUAAUGCUAUUAUGUGUUCGAAAGUAAAGCAAUAAUAGUAGAGUGGCUAUCCUAUCCUAGGCUGCAGCAAAUGAGAACAAGCCCAAAUGCAGCAGCUGUAGACAUGGAAACAAAGGAAGAAAAACUUCUUACCUUUGGAAGGUCUCAGGUAGGCAGAUACCUCCAGAGAAAUACCCUCACCUCCCCCUGCCAGCCCUUAAAUGAGGUCUGGGAAGGGGUGGAUCCUGGCUUCCUUCUGGUCACUCAGCUGCACUGCAUGCAUCAGGGCUCCCCUGGGUUGGCCCUGCCUUCCCACCAGGUGCUCAAUCACUGCUUCAAGCUGUGACUUAGCAUUUCCGCUACAGACAGUUUGUCCAGAAGGAUGCUAUGAAGGACAAAAUCAAAGGCCUUACUAAAAUCCAGAAAGAUUAUGUCCGCUGCCUUCCCUUCAUCCACAAAGCAGGUGACCUUAUCAUAGAAGGAGAUAAAAUUACUAAGGCAGGACUUUCUCUUAAUGAAUCCAUGUUGAUUAUGCCUCAUAAUAGCUUUGUUCUUCAAAUGCCUUUCAAUACCCCCAGCACAGUCUUUGUAUUCUUUCUAAAGACUGAGGUUAGACUAACAGGUCUGUGGUUUCCUGGGUCUUCUCUUGUGCCCCUUUUGUAGUUGUUUAUAACACUGGCUAGUUUCUAGUCAGCAGGGAUGUUCCCAGGCUACCAAGACCUUUGGUAAUUCAUUGAGAGGGGUCCAGCUACAACAUCCAUUAAUUCCUUUAGUCUGGAAUGAACACUAUCAAGCCUCAUGGACUUAAGAACAUUAAGCUGGUACAGAUGGUCCCUUAUGAUUUGGUGGCCACAAAUAUAUAAAUCUCUGCUCCUGUUGCAUGGAUUCUAGCAAAAUGAUUCACCAGACUUCUCUCAAAAUAAAAACUUCCACGUUACCUUGUCCUCCAGUGGACACUGCCUUCACUGUGCUCUUUCAGUGAACCUCUGGUGCCUUCCUCACUAAAUUCUUCUUACUUUUGGGAUGAGCUAAGCUGGGCCUUGAGUUCCAUACUUUUCAGAUGCCACUAUGGAAGAAAAGACAAGACAGGCGCCUGAGCGUUGUUCUGGAUUUUCCUAGACUCUAAAGUUUGUUUCUGCCUGUUUCAAACAAGAGUGAAGUAUGUGGAAGUCUCAGGUAAUAGCUCCUGAAGUCAUGAGCUACUUCCUCAGGCCCUACAUGAAGAUUAAAUGAGUUAGUCAGUGGCAAACUGCUGAGACUACAGCUCAGCUUUCUUAACUCUUUCAAGUGCUUCAUCCAUCUGUCUUCACCACCUGCCAUGGUUAAUUUUUAACAUCUGCAAAGCUGUAAUGGAAUCAUUUACAUGCUUACAACAAAACACGCACUGUUUGCUGGAUUCUGUCAAUGUUGCUUAAAUUUUACUUCUACAGCUAAACUGCAGAAAAAAGUGUCUCAGGCAAUAUAGAGAACAGGUGACACUUGAUAGCCACAGUUAUCAUAUUUGGAUUCUUUUUUUAUUGAGAACAACACUUCAAGGACAGAUGGAUUAUUACCUUUCCACAAAAGUACUCACAUUUCUGCUGAGUAACCUUCUUAUCAUCUCCUUUUAUUACUAAAUCUUAAUGAGAUAGUAAUAUAAAACAUAAUUAAUUUUAUCAUCAUUUUAAAAUUAAUGUGAUAAUCAAAGUAGAAUUCCAUCUGCAGAACCCAUUUUGGAUCUUCGGUCUUCUAAAAAUUCCCUAUAGUGCCCACCCCGCUACUGAUGAUGAUAAAUUUGGGGAUUACGUUUCUGGAUAACAGAGUGAGAAUGAUACUCUUGUCAAUAGGAUGCCAAGUAGUUAUCAGGUGGUAAAAACUAACCAAGCCCUUAUAAUCAACAGUAGAGAAUGAUGGCUUUGCAUUUAAUGGACUGGAUAGGAACUCAGUUUGUCUCUUAAGUGUACUUAGCAUCUACACAACACAUACAUCCCGUACAGUACAGGCCCGUGAGCACACACAGUCAAGAAGCAAUGGCUUAUGAGAGUGAUUGUAGCUAAUGAAUUUCACUUCACAGCUCAGGGGUACACACGUGGGCUGCUACUCACUCCUAGUGCUGAGCAGUGCUUUAUUAAAAUCCCAUGACUUGAUCACACGCAGCCCACAUGCUCAUGCCCUGUUCCUGAGUUCAGUAACCUUGGGGAACUGGGUUUGCAGCCCCAAAAUCAGAAAUUAGUUGGUAACUGCUCAGGACUUAGCAAACAGGCUGCACUGGCACACAUGAAGGAAGUGACUUUGUAAACCCUGUCACUGAUGGCCUGAAGUGAUCUUUGUUUCCCAGCUAUAGAAUACAAUCAUGAACACAGAUGACUGUGAUGACUGUAGGCUGUGAAGCCCUUUACCUGUUUCAUCUUUUGAGGCUCCAGUCCUGCAGCACACACACACACAAUUUUAUCACUGUGAGAGGAGCUGCACUAGGAAUGAGGUUGGCAAGUUCAUGCUUACAAGGUCAUGGACUAAUAAAUAUUUGGGAUGAGAUUUAUUCCCUAGUUAAUGGCCCAAACAGCGCACAGGCAGCAGAUCCUUUUUUCUCCAGUAAGAAAGCAUGUAAUAAUAAUAAUGAAGUGAAAAGUUCUAUCCUUUGUCAUUUCACAGCACUGUCAUAUUAUACAUCUAGUACAAUGUUUGGCUUUUCUGACUGGCCCUGUUAAUUUAUGAUGUAUCCAUAGGAAUGCAGACUUGGAAGACAGACUGGCCAUUUCUAAUAAGUAUUAUACAAUUAUACAGUGUCACACAAUUGCUAAACAAGAGAAAGGAAAAGAGACCUGCUUUGCAAAGCUCUGAAUUUCUAACAUGCAAUUGGCCCAAUGGGACACGGAGGUUUCAAUCAAUAGCACACCUAUUUACAUGGACUGAUGUAAUUCAGACAGGCAAAAAGAAGCAUGAAAGACUAAGUAGCUAAGGACUGCUGCCCUGUUUUUAUUUCAGUUCCUUUCCACAAGGCUGCACAGCACUAUUAUCAGGUGAGAGGCACUGAGCGGCAUUUCAUGUAUUAUUUAAGAGAAACCACAGCUGUUUUAGAUGGUAAAAGGGUGCAAUGUCAAGUGAGUAUUAUCCGUUAUUUUCACUUGAGCUGAGAAAUGUUUUAGCACCGUUUCCUCUCUACAGGGAAACCUGGCUAGUGGGUCACUUCUCACUCCUAUCACUGAGGCCUCGAGAGCUGCUUUAAUGAGUGCUAGCUCCCCGCUGAUUAUUGAUUCCAUCUGGCUCAAUGAACAGGAAUAAAUAGUUCCUAAUUUGUUGUGGCAUUGCGUAGAUGUGUUUAUUUAUUAAAGGAGAGAGCUGUGGCAGCAUGCAUCCCAUUCAGCACCAGUACCACGAGCUUGGUAUUGGCAGGAGAGAAGCAAAUCCCUGCCGCUGAGCGGCAGGCCAUGCCAGGUAGCUGGCAUGGUGAGAUGCUCACAGUUACUGCCUCUCUGCAAUGGUCAGUCUCUAGGCUCCCUCUCACACAUCUGAUCACAUCUGUCACCAAAGACAUUCCCAUGUCAAACCCUUUCGUCCCACUCAUUGAGGUCCUUGUCCCUGACACUAUAGCUGCAUUUGCAUGAACAGGAACACUCUGGUGCUGCUAUGAUCAUAUUAUCCAACAUCCCGAACUAAUUCAUGUAUAGCUGCACAGCCCUCCAGUGUGCUGGGAGACUCUGUGGUCACUUUUAUGGCCUAAAAGUCACUACUGUGUCACUACUUUGACAUCUUGACAUUGAGGGUUUGAAAUUAGUUCACAGGAAAACAAGAACAAGCUGAAACCAGUUCAAGGUUGCAGGGAGUAGUUUCCCCCAGAUUAUCAGAUUUGUCUUCAGGAAACCUGUGUUCCAGCUUAAUGUUAUUACCCGCAGGAGCAAACUCCAUACUAUAGCUAACCUGCCGAUAAAAUGAGGUCUAAGUUGUUCCUUUUUCCUUAUCUCUGCCUGCUUUAUCCAUGGACAUUUGACUGUCCAGGCCAGGGAAAGUCUCUCACUCCUUAUUCAAGCCAAAACUUUUUACUAUGAGAACAUCAUCCGCGCAGGGGCCUUCAGGAAUCUCUAUUACAGAAAUAACAACAAAUUUUAUCCAAAGGAAAAAGGCAAGAAAUUAUGUAUGGUUUUCCUGAAAGCACUAUGAUAUGCUGCAAAGACAUUUUUUGCCCUCCUGUAAUGAAACAAAAAAUGGUACAACACUGAAUCCCAAAUGUGCUCUUCUUUCAGUAAUGUAAUAUUACAGAACUCUAGCGAGGCAACUGAUGUUUCUUUCCUUUCAUUUAUUUUCUCUAAAGAUAGUUACUCAGCUCUGUGAGUUGGAACUGGAUGUUCUAUACUGAUGAUUAAAUAACCCAAUUAGUCCUAGGUUUUAAUCACUAAAUAUUCUUGUUGGAGUAUAUUUAGAAUACAUUCUUAUAAUUCCAUUGGCAAUUUCACAGACAAUGAAGAGAAGUAAGUUGGAGGAGAGGGUUUGCCUUCUGCCUAUACCCAACAGUAUUGUAUUUUCUGACAGCUGUAGGCCCUUCAUUCCCAGAAAUUACUCUACUUUGUCAUACUUACUCUAGGGAGGGAGAAGUUGUGUCAGAAAUGGAAGCAUGAAAUAGGGCACUUCAAUGGAUAGAGCAAUUCCAGGAGGGAAUUCUGCACUGAAUGAGUCAUCACCAGACCUCUAUAGUUCACUGCUUGUAUUUGUGUAUAAACAAGUGCAGACUCCAGGAAAAAAAGAUGCCUCUACUACCUCUCUAAGAGCAUGCAUAUUAAGGUCCUCAUCAGACCUCUGCUCUCACACAUGGAAGUAGCCUACUCUCAGCUGCCUUGUUCAGAAAAUCUUGUGAACAGAGGUUUGUUAGUGAGAUUCUUGACAUCGUCUACAACAAUACCUGAUGGUACCAACCCUAUUAGACUAACUUUAACUGAAUGCAAAAUAUACCACAUAAACAAGAAAGCACCCAGAAGUGCUGGGAGUCAGACACAUUUGUCUUCCUUGCCCAUUACCAAUCAAUGCCCUUGCCACGUUAUUUGGGUCAGGAAGGACAAGCUCACUCCUCUUCUUUCCCUCAUCCCCAAGUAUGGGAUCUAAGAGAAGAAAGGAGAGCAGCAAAACUUUACAGCAGUGUUUUAUGCUUACCCCAGGCACUUGCCCUGAGAGGGCAAGGUUUUCUCCCUGUGUUGAGUUACAGAGAAUUACAGUUACUGAGUUACAGGCCUGAUGCUGAGACCCAUCACACACACUGUUUGAGCUGUUACUCCAGUGCAUGAAAACUAGCGCACAAAUGCAACUUCUGAGGUGCAGAUGAACUUGUGCAAGUACUCAGUGAAGCAAUGCGAUCUUAUUUGCACAUCUGGUACAGGCCAGAGAGAAAUAAUUCAGUCGAAGCAAAAUCAGCAGGGGGUUACAAUAAUUCCUUGAUUAAAAUUUGUGAUUUUUAAACAGACGUAUCUGAUGCAAUGAGAACGAAAGGUAACACACGUUCAUUAACUCACAUAUGGAAUCUCAAAGUAAUGUCUUUCGACUCAGUAAUAAAUCAGAGCUGACAUUUAAUAAAGUCAGUCUCACAAUGUUUCUCAUUUGAUUAUGGCCACAGCGCUUCAGGAAAGCUGCUAGUUGUUUCUCAGACACUCGUGUGUAUAGAUACCAGUGACUGUAUUUUCUCUUUUUUUACCUGCAGUCUGGGCUGUUCUGUUACUUUUCCCCAGUGGUUACAUUUGACUGAAAGAAAGGAACUGCCAUCCAAGAUAUUGAGAUUUCAGAAUUCUUUCACAGUUGGGGUGAGAAUAAGACAUCUUAGAAUCACUUGCAAACAAAACACUGAGAAAUAUUUUCUUCAUACAUUUUCUUUCUUCCUUCAUAUCAAUAAAGUUGGAGCUGGUGAUUUGUACUUACAUUAUGUUAUGCAGUCAAAAUAGAAAAUAGGAAAUAGAUGCUUGGACCUUUCUGAAAUUAAACAUUGCACCUUUCUGUUAGAAAGACUUAACAAUAAUUAUCCACUGAGAAUUUGACCAAAAAUGACAUUUAUCCGUGUGAUAUUUUCAUUCUGUAGCAUCAGCAUUUUCCAGUUUAAACAAGUAACCUUUGGAAAUUUUGAACUAGCCUUAUCUGAUGCAAGUUAAGCUGUACUGUCAUUACUAUGUGGGGCUCUGUCACUUGUUCACAGGAAGCAGUACCUGCAGAACUUAUCUUUGAGUUUAGAAGACAAGAUUGUGCAUCUCAGUAUGAAGUAUUCAUGAAAGCAGAAGAGAAAUAGAUAAGGGGAAAAAAAAAAACCAACACAACACGCAUAUUCAGGCACAGCAUAACAGAAGCAGAGAGCAAUGGAACACGGAAUAAACUGUGUAUAUGAAAAUGUGGUGUCCUAUCUAUAAAAACGCUAACAACUCAUGGGACUAUUGAUAGAUAACACAAGAAGUGUAUAAGCUUUUUGUCCAGAAACUUGCUUGCCUAUGAUUUGGUGUGUGAUACACAAUGCUGUGGGCAGAUGUCUAGAGGAUUUGCUCUUUAGAGUGUUAAGGACACAAAUGUAUGGUAAUUGUAGUUUCUCUGUUGUAAUACAGUUGAACAAAAUGGUCUAAUAUCUGGGAUACCACUUCUCAGAUGUCUCUGGUACUUGCACAGAAGCCAUUUGAUUUCAUGUUUAUGGAUAUACAUAUACUUACAUAUACAUACAUAUCUAUGGCUCAUGGUGACUUUCUUGUUGAGACUGAACCACAACAGACUACCUUUCUCUGUAACUACAGCACUUGUAGCCUCAUUUGAAACCUUACAUCAAGUAUAGAAAGAUAAUAAGACAGAUUCCGCUAAACUGAUUUCUACUCAAUCACCACUGAGUAGCAGGAAUACUGUCAGCUGCACAGACUCCACUUCAGCACUGGGGAUGGAUGUGGAAGGGAUCUGCUUUCCUUCCUCUCCCCAGCCAAGAAACAGGAGGUGCAGAGAAGCUGCAUGAGGCCACAGGGUCCCCAGAGAGACUCAUAAAAUCUAAUGAACUUCCUUCUUCCCUGCUCCCUUGUCAGAAUUUCCCCUAUUGCUACUACACUUAGUGGCAUUAGGAUCUUUGAGCUACUUAGCUAUUGGCUAUUUAUAUCCUUGUUAUGAAACAUUCAAAUAAUGUUGCCAGCGUCACCUUUACAGCUCUGCCCCUGAGGUCCUUCAGCGCCCUGACACAGGAAUACCGAAGCAGAGAGUCACAAAAUAGUUGAACCCAAAUUCGGAGGUUAUCUCUGCUAACUUCAGGGUACAAUCCUACACUUACAGGCUAAGUAAGUUCCCCUGCAAGUCCUGUGCUGCAAAUUGGAUCUUAAUGUUACUCUUAUAAAAAAUAACAGUGAAAAAUGAAUGGGAAUAGCUAAAAUUCUUUUUUUUUUUUUUUCUCUGGGAAAAGAAGCACUGCAAAGAGAUGUAUGUAUAAAUCUAAACACAGGGAAUAAUGUAUUAAAAUGUCAGUACGACUUUUCCUAACAUUAAAUGUGUAUCAGGUAUCUUUUCAAGGAUACUCACUUCAAAGGGCUGUAUGAGUUUGACUCACACUUCUGUUUUUCUAGUUUUAUGCCAUUCAUAUCAAAAUACACUAAAAAUGUAAUAAAACUUUGCAGCUAAAGAAGUAUAAACACAUCCAAGGAGCAUAUGUAUAUGUUUCUAUUAAUGACUUACUUAUGUGGUGCCACAUUUAUUAUAUUCAGGAUCAAAAUAUUCUCCUGCUCUUUUUUUCCCCCCAGAAUGCAUCCUACAUUGCUCUUCACUCAGCCCCUGCUGAAGAGAGGCAUCCCUGACCAAAGCACUCAUGGCCACAGAUAGGUAAGGGCCUAUUCUGUUUUGGAGUACCCACUUAUUUGUCACAAUGCUUAUGUCACCACUGUCAGCACAUGUGCAACAUCCAUGCUCCACACAGAGGAUAAAUGAACACUAAGAGUCCAGCAGUUUGCUAGACAACAGGAGAGGGGAAACUGGGAAUGCAUGGUUAUCAGAUGGUUAGAAUUGCUGAUGUUUGAAACAGGGACUCUUCCCUACCAGAACUGCAGACCAUCUUGGAGGAGGUGUUGCGAUACAAACCCCAUUUCCCUCCCACUAAUACAUAACUUGGUGGGAGACAAAAGUUUGAAGUUGGUCAGUAAAGCAGCCAUUGGGCAGCUAAACAUGAUCACCUGCUCUCCUUCACACUGAGCAGGAUUAUAUUCCAUAAAAGCUUCUCUGAACUUGUGUUAAAAUCCCUGGGCUGCAAGACUCUUAUUCCCUCUGAAUUAGGGAUAUAAAAAUCUGACCUCUAGUCGUUUCUCAAUCAGCGUAGAAGUUUUCAUAUCAUGUCUGUUUGAAUAGGUUCCACUGUAUUACAUGCUUGCAAGAUUAUACAUAAAUACUGUUCAUACUCCUCUUGCCUUUUUUUCCUCUUUCAUCCCUGUACAGUUGUCUUUGGACUGUCUUUCUGUAUUAUCUCUGUACAAUUCUGAACACAAUGGCUCUUCCUUCUGUGAUAACGGGCUUCCUUUGCAAACCCCAACUUCAUCUCAAGUUCACGGAAAUGCAGUUCUGUUCUUUAGGAAUCUUCACCAGCAAGAUCGAAGGACUUAAUACCUAAAGAUAAAGAGGUCAGAAAAGGGAACACAGGACAAACUUGAGAAAACCAUUCAGAGAGAAAGCAACACUGAAUGUUCCACAAGAUCCUUAAUGCCUGAGCUGAUAGCAUCUUCUUAUUUUAACCCUUCUUAUGGUUCAGUGUUGGAAGAGUCAAAAAUAAGGGAGGUAAUUCCUUCAACAUAGUGGUUCAGGCUGUUGUAGUGAUCUUACUUUCUCCCCUGAGAAGGUAAGUUCUGCUUUUGCCUUACUCUUCUGAAAGUUCUUUUUCGAAAGAUAGUACCCUGUUGAAACAUGUUUCUCUCUUUGUCUUGCCUGGAGAUGUGACAUGCACCCUUAGGGUACUUUAGUUAGGUUAGGGCAGUUCUUCAUACUCAGCACGCUGUCCAAUACAGCAUACCUGCCAGCUAAUUAUUGAGUGGGCAUUACAGACGCAUAACAUUCCUCCAUCUGGAACAGAACUUUAUUUUAACUAUAAUGGCAUCAAGUGACUUAAAAAAAUUCUCAAAUGAAGUUUGGCCUCCAGAAGCAGCUUUCUCCCCAUUGAAGAUGAACAAGAUUCUCUCAGCCAUCCUAUGAAGAUGUAUAGUUAGUGGCAGUCCCUUGCCAAGUGAAAGAGAUGCACUCUCCAGAAUUAUCUUCAAAUUGAGACAUUUUUGUUGUUUUCAAAAUUCAAAUCCAAAUAUGAAGAUGUUAAGAAACUGAUCAGGAAGGAAGCCAGAAAAACAUCUGAAAGGAGGCUAAAGAAGACAAAGACAGUCUGCAAGACCAUUGCUUCCCUUUGUACAGCCUACCCAUGGAAUUCCAAAGGAGAAAAAGAAGAUAAAAGAUGUUUCAUUCACUCAGUAGAGGCCAAAGAAGUGACUGUAGGAUGCCUGUGGGAAGUUAGCUAUCACCCUUUCAUCUGGGCUGCAGGAGUCUUUGUAAUUGCUGAUAGAAAUAAAAGUAUGUUAAUGCAAAACCAUGUUCUACCAGUGACUCAUGUUUUGGCUUCCUUUAAUACCUACUUAUCACAUGCUUGUGUUUAGGGUCAAUGGAACACUGGUAACUGGUAUUUUUUACAGUUCUGUCAAAGCCAUCUCUGGAAUAUCACGCAGACUGAAACCUAAAGGUCACUGAGCACAUGCUUGGAAAAGAUGCUGCCCAAAAUGCAUAAAUGAUACCAGAAACAAGCCCUUGCUUAGGAUAAAGUUACUUUCCAAAAGAAAAAAAAAAAAAAAAAGUCUGAAAUUGUUUCUUUUCAUGCCGCCUUUGCCUACAAACAUCCCGUCUUCAGUUGCUGAAUCCUUUAAUUUAUACUAUGUAAUUUAAAAACAACUGAGUAUGCAGAAAAAUAGAAAGUUCAGUUUUUACCACGGGUCUGAAAUUUGGGAUUACCAACACUCUCAGUGAUUUUUGAGUUCCCAAAAUAGGGGAAGAGAAGAAAAUACUGGCAGGGAGAUUAGUUGCAAGUGAAGGUUAGAAAACUUCUUUGAAGCUUAUCCAUAUUUCAUCCAUGGAUCAACAUCCCUUUGAACACAAAAUCUAUCAGGACUGCCAGAUUUGCAAGUGUUUCAUGAGGGCACUGCUUUUACCAAAAGAACAAAAGGCAUCAUUCAGAUCAAUACAGGCACUGUGGCACAUAUAUGAAUAUCGUAUCUGUACAUGUACAGGCAGCUCAGUAACCAGUUGCAGAAACACUUUCCUCACAAGGGGAGCUCGAAUUUUAGAAUCACAGUGAACACCUCCAGGGAUAGUGACUUCUCCACCUCCCCAGGCAGCCUGUGCCAAUGCCUCACCACUCUUUCUGAGAAUAAAUUUUUCCUAACAUCUAACCUGACCCUCUUCUGCAAUUCAAGGCCAUUCCCUCUCAUCCUGUAGCUGUUACCCAGGAGAAGAGGCCAACAUCCACCUCACUGUAGCCUCCUUUCAGGUAGUUGUAGAGAGACACAAGGUCUCCCAUGAGCCUCCUGUUCUUGACAGUAUAAGAUCCGUAUCAGCAAUAUGUCACACAAAUGGAG